CUUUAGCAUUAGCUUAGCUACACGAGAGCCCCAGAGGCUAGUCUGUAAUGACUUCUGAGUGUCGUUAUAGUGCAAGUUUAAACAUAUUUGACUCUGUUAAUGCUAAAGCCAGUUCAUAGACCUGUUCAUUCUGCUCUUUUGCUUCUUUUUACUUAAUUUAAAGAUUGGAACACAGUACAGCUUCCUAUGGGACGUCUGUUGUUGUUUACGUUGCGUUUGUUUGGUUGGUUGGCAUUUAUGUUAAAAAAUGUGCAUCUUAUUUAAUUUAUGACGUUAGGGAAGCAUUACUUUUUGUAAAUCAAGUUUCUUUAUAGUACUAUUACUUAUUAAAAAUAUGCAUCGUGCCCAACAGUCACUGACGUGAUGACUUUACAUUCCCUCGUCUAAGCCUCCUCAAAGUUGUAGUUUAGACGCUUUGUGAUGCUUAAAAAAAGCUUGAAAACAACACCCAAAGCACAUUGUGCUGCAGAUAUAGUUCUUACUCUGUAGACAACUGCAAGCUUUCAUUUGUAUCUUUGCAAAUAGUUAAAAAAAAAAAAUUCAAUGGAAUUGGAAUGUCAACCCAAAGUACAUUCAUUCAUUUCAUCUUAAUUAAGAACAGACGUGAGGAUACAUCAGCUAAGGUUUAAAAAAAUAACCACAUUUUUGUCCUGCACUUCCAGUCUUUUUUUUCACUUGUCGGCACUUUCUGCUUGCUAAAAAAUUCUGACAUAACCAUUGCAUAGUUUGACAGUUUGUUUUUUAUUUAGAUUACAUUUGAAGACUGCUCCUGUGUGGCUGGUACAGUGCUGUGCAAUCAGUGUUGCAUUACAUCACCAGACUGCUCACUACUCUGCUCACAAUUUGGCUGCUGUGCCACCAGUACUAAGCUGUACUGAAACCGAACAAAUCUGGCACAAACCAACAACCAUUAAGGUUAAACCAGGCCGUGUGCGUCACAUGGUUUUAUGUCUGCAAGACCAGAAUGGCAGCGCACAGUCGGAAAUGGUGUAAGGAGAAAACGUUACAAGGCAGACACACCAGACACUGAUGUUCUCAGAGUAGCAGAGGUGUAUCCGGACUUUCCUGCAGACCUUGCACCUCUCAUUACUACCAUGGUAAUCAGUGCUGAUGUCCCUUUAUUUGAUUCAGCCUUUGGUAAAGUCGAGGAAGGCAGUCCAUUCGCUUUUCAACAUUCACUACCAGUCAGUUGGGUAAUAAUUUGCCAUGUGGAUUCCCCCUCCUCUGCCAUCACUGCCUCUUGACCACUACCAUCUCGAGCCCACCUGUGUCUAGUUUGUCUGCAGCCAACAGCAACAACUUGAACUGGAGUGUCUUCCGACAACGCUGGAACAGUCCGGUCAAAUUGAAGUUGCCACCAGGGAGCAGAGCGCAACAUUUCUAGGAAGUCUGUCAUAUGAGAGGAGCCACUUCUGCUUUGAGCUUAGCGCAGCGCAUCAAGAUGGGAACAGCAGCCACAGCCGCCAUGAAAAGGGGCCUAGCACUUAACCCAUCAGCUAUCUGGGAAUACUGCAGGAUCAAAAACACCAACUUUGGGCCCUGUGGGUUUGUGAUUCACCCUGAUGCUCCAUGGUUGGGCUCUUCUCCAGAUGUUGUUGUUUUUGACCUGACAGAGAUGCAAACAUUUGUUUUGUUGGAGUUAAAAUGUCCCUAUACUAAGAGUUAUGUGAAUUGUCGCUAUGUAAUGACACGAUGAGGCUCGAGUCAAGUCACAGCUGCUACUGGCAGGUGAAAGGGCAGCUUCUAAUCACUGGCAUGGAGUGGUGUGAUUUUGUCGUCUAUCCAGAGGAUGACAUUCUUGUCCAACGCAUUUAUAGAGAUACCCGUGUGUG